AGCGAACGCUGGCGGCAGGCCUAACACAUGCAAGUCGAACGAACUCUUCGGAGUUAGUGGCGGACGGGUGAGUAACACGUGGGAACGUGCCUUUAGGUUCGGAAUAACUCAGGGAAACUUGUGCUAAUACCGAAUGUGCCCUUCGGGGGAAAGAUUUAUCGCCUUUAGAGCGGCCCGCGUCUGAUUAGCUAGUUGGUGAGGUAAAGGCUCACCAAGGCGACGAUCAGUAGCUGGUCUGAGAGGAUGAUCAGCCACAUUGGGACUGAGACACGGCCCAAACUCCUACGGGAGGCAGCAGGGGGGAAUCUGGCGCAAUGGGCGAAAGCCUGACGCAGCCAUGCCGCGUGAAUGAUGAAGGUCUUAGGAUUGUAAAAUUCUUUCACCGGGGACGAUAAUGACGGUACCCGGAGAAGAAGCCCCGGCUAACUUCGU
rnacentral:rRNA from 1 species